CUUCAGUACACAAGGCAUGAGUAGGCUGCACAUUCAGACCCAUAACUCGAGUGAAGGGUUUGCACAGCAGACUACCGGAUACCUGUUCUUGCAAAGGUAUCAAAAGAACGACUCUCAAUGUCUUGCUGAAAGGAAACGCAAGUUUAUAAGAUAGGCUCAGAAAUCAUUAGUAUGGAUUGGAGAGAUGAGUGAUUUCUAGAGAGCUGUCAUCAUCAAGUUCAUUAACUGUUUGUGUGGUGUUUAAUAGGAUGAAUUGGACAGACUACCUAAGCACGAGUGAAAAGCUAGCGACCUAUGACGUGUGAAAACUAACAAUAGAGGCUUGUGGGAGUCAUCGUGCAACUCACACUUAUUCAUUCUAUUUC